rnacentral:lncRNA from 1 species
UGAGAAGGAGCAGAAAGGAAAAAAAGAAACACGUAUAUUCUUCAGAAUCUGGUUUGGCUUGAAUAAGAGAGAGAUCAUAAAAACUGCUAUUGGCUCUUUUGCAGCAGCUUUUGCAGGAAUCUCUAAACCUGUUUUUGGAUUCUAUGUCAUUACAAUAGGAGUGGCAUAUUACAAUCCUGAUUCAAAGGAGAAAGUAGCUCGGUAUUCAGUAAUAUUUACCUCAAUAGGACUGCUUUCUCUGUUUGCCCACACUUUGCAACAUUACUUAUUCGGAGUAGCUGGAGAGAAGGCCAUGACAAACCUCAGGCAAGCUUUGUACACCGGUAGGUACUUACAGUGCUCCUCCGUAUCAGAUCAAUCAAUCUGUCUGCUUCUUAUUGCUUCGUCCUGCAUCAACUUUUUAUGACAUUCCAAAAAUUGUUUUUCAGCCGCACUACGUAAUGAAUUGGCUUGGUUUGAAAAUCCCGAAAACAGUAUUGGACCACUUACCUCCAGGAUAGUCAAUGAAACAUCCACAGUCAAGACAAUAAUAGCUGAUCGCAUGUCUGUCAUUGUCCAGUGCAUCUCCUCCAUACUUAUAGCAACAACUGUUAGUAUGAAAGUUAACUGGAGAAUGGGUCUGGUGGCUUGGGCU